rnacentral:rRNA from 1 species
GGGGGGGGGGCACCGACCAAAAAGAAGCAGUUGAUCACUCAGGACAAGGCGGAGACCAAGCAGGUGCUAGUUGAGGAAGACGGGUCCUCGGGAGCCACCUUCACCAUAGGCGCCAACCUGAACCCCGACCAAGAGGAGGCGUUGGUGAGGUUCUUGCACUCGAACAAGGAGGUGUUCGCGUGGGAACCCAAGCAACUAGCGGGGGUCCCAAGGGAGGUGAUUGAGCAUCACCUGAAUGUGUGCCCCAAUGUACGCCCCGUGAAGCAGAAAGCGAGGCAGCAGUCCACCGAGAAGCAGGCCUUCAUCGUCCAAGAAACCCGCAAGCUAGAGGCAGCAGGUGUUAUUCGCGAGGUUCGCUACCCCGAAUGGCUGGCAAACCCCGUUGUCGUGCCAAAAAAGGGAGGAAAGGAGCGCAUGUGCGUCGACUUCACCAACCUCAACAAGGCCUGCCCUCAAGAUCCGUUCCUGCUCCCCCGCAUCGACCAGAUUGUUGACUCCACCGCCGAGUGUGACCUGCUGUGUUUCCUGGAUGCAUUUUCGGCUUAUCACCAAAUCAAGAUGGCGGUGGAAGACGUGGAGAAAACAGCCUUCCUG